rnacentral:rRNA from 1 species
AGCGAACGCUGGCGGCAGGCUUAACACAUGCAAGUCGAGCGGGCGUAGCAAUACGUCAGCGGCAGACGGGUGAGUAACGCGUGGGAACAUACCUUUUGGUUCGGAACAACACAGGGAAACUUGUGCUAAUACCGGAUAAGCCCUUACGGGGAAAGAUUUAUCGCCGAAAGAUUGGCCCGCGUCUGAUUAGCUAGUUGGUGAGGUAAUGGCUCACCAAGGCGACGAUCAGUAGCNGGUCUGAGAGGAUGAUCAGCCACAUUGGGACUGAGACACGGCCCAAACUCCUACGGGAGGCAGCAGUGGGGAAUAUUGGACAAUGGGCGCAAGCCUGAUCCAGCCAUGCCGCGUGAGUGAUGAAGGCCCUAGGGUUGUAAAGCUCUUUUGUGCGGGAAGAUAAUGACGGUACCGCAAGAAUAAGCCCCGGCUAACUUCGUGCCAGCCGCCGCCGUAAC